AGCAAGGUAAUACUCCCUCUCUCUCCCGUCCUAUUUUAAGUGUCUUAUUUAAAGACUUUUUAUAAUUAAUAUUUAUAUUAUUAUGACAUAAUAAAAUAUAAAUAUUACUUUACUCGUGACGUAUGUUCCUAAAUUUUUUAAAAAAAAAUUCAAAUAAAACGGACUGUCAAAGUUGGACGCAAAAAACCAUGGUUGUACCUAAA
rnacentral:pre_miRNA from 1 species